GACGAACGCUGGCGGCGUGCUUAACACAUGCAAGUCGAACGGAAGGGCCCUGCUUUUGUGGGGUGCUCGAGUGGCGAACGGGUGAGUAACACGUGAGUAACCUGCCCUUGACUUUGGGAUAACUUCAGGAAACUGGGGCUAAUACCGGAUAGGAGCUCCUGCUGCAUGGUGGGUGUUGGAAAGUUUCGGCGGUUGGGGAUGGACUCGCGGCUUAUCAGCUUGUUGGUGGGGUAGUGGCUUACCAAGGCUUUGACGGGUAGCCGGCCUGAGAGGGUGACCGGCCACAUUGGGACUGAGAUACGGCCCAGACUCCUACGGGAGGCAGCAGUGGGGAAUAUUGCACAAUGGGCGGAAGCCUGAUGCAGCAACGCCGCGUGCGGGAUGACGGCCUUCGGGUUGUAAACCGCUUUCGCCUGUGACGAAGCGUGAGUGACGGUAAUGGGUAAAGAAGCACCGGCUAACUACGUG
rnacentral:rRNA from 1 species